UAAACCAUUGGUCCCCGUUUA
rnacentral:piRNA from 1 species